rnacentral:rRNA from 1 species
GAUGAACGCUGGCGGCGUGCCUAAUACAUGCAAGUCGAGCGAACAGACGAGGAGCUUGCUCCUCUGACGUUAGCGGCGGGCGGGUGAGUAACACGUGUAUAACCUACCUAUAAGACUGGGAUAACUUCGGGAAACCGGAGCUAAUACCGGAUAAUAUAUUGAACCGCAGGGUUCAAUAGUGAAAGACGGUUUUGCUGUCACUUAUAGAUGGAUCCGCGCCGCAUUGGCUAGUUGGUAAGGUAACGGCUUAUCAAGGCAACGAUGCGUAGCCGACAUGAGAGGGUGGUCAGCCACACUGGGACUGAGACACGGCCCAUACGCCUACGGGAGGCAGCAGGAGGCAAUCUUGCGCAAUGGGCGAAAGCCUGUCCGAGCAGCGCCGCGGGAGUGAUGAAGAUCGUCGGAUCGUAAAACUCUGUUAUUAGGGUAGAACACAUUUGUACGUAACUCUGCGCGUCUGGACGGUAACUAAGCAGAGAGCCACGGCUAACUUAGUG